rnacentral:rRNA from 1 species
GCAGGUUGAAGGUUGGGUAACACUAACUGGAGGACCGAACCGACUAAUGUUGAAAAAUUAGCGGAUGACCUGUGGCUGGGGGUGAAAGGCCAAUCAAACCGGGAGAUAGCUGGUUCUCCCCGAAAGCUAUUUAGGUAGCGCCUCGUGAAUUCAUCUCCGGGGGUAGAGCACUGUUUCGGCUAGGGGGCCAUCCCGGCUUACCAACCCGAUGCAAACUGCGAAUACCGGAGAAUGUUAUCACGGGAGACACACGGCGGGUGCUAACGUCCGUCGUGAAGAGGGAAACAACCCAGACCGCCAGCUAAGGUCCCAAAGUCAUGGUUAAGUGGGAAACGAUGUGGGAAGGCCCAGACAGCCAGGAUGUUGGCUUAGAAGCAGCCAUCAUUUAAAGAAAGCGUAAUAGCUCACUGGUCGAGUCGGCCUGCGCGGAAGAUGUAACGGGGCUAAACCAUGCACCGAAGCUGCGGCAGCGAACGUAUCACCCAAGACAACUUUACGGAGUUGACGAUUGACGGAGCGAAGCGACGUCAAAGCGUUCAUUAAAGUCGAGUUGGCUUAGGGAUACGUUCGUUGGGUAGGGGAGCGUUCUGUAAGCCUGUGAAGGUGUGUCGUGAGGCAUGCUGGAGGUAUCAGAAGUGCGAAUGCUGACAUAAGUAACGAUAAAGCGGGUGAAAAGCCCGCUCGCCGGAAGACCAAGGGUUCCUGUCCAACGUUAAUCGGGGCAGGGUGAGUCGACCCCUAAGGCGAGGCCGAAAGGCGUAGUCGAUGGGAAACGGGUUAAUAUUCCCGUACUUGGUGUUACUGCGAAGGGGGGACGGAGAAGGCUAUGUUGGCCGGGCGACGGUUGUCCCGGUUUAAGCGUGUAGGUGUGUGUUCCAGGUAAAUCCGGUUCACUUUAACACUGAGGCGUGACGACGAGGCACUACGGUGCUGAAGCAACAAAUGCCCUGCUUCCAGGAAAAGCCUCUAAGCAUCAGGUAACAUCAAAUCGUACCCCAAACCGACACAGGUGGUCAGGUAGAGAAUACCAAGGCGCUUGAGAGAACUCGGGUGAAGGAACUAGGCAAAAUGGUGCCGUAACUUCGGGAGAAGGCACGCUGACACGUAGGUGAAGUGAUUUACUCAUGGAGCUGAAGUCAGUCGAAGAUACCAGCUGGCUGCAACUGUUUAUUAAAAACACAGCACUGUGCAAACACGAAAGUGGACGUAUACGGUGUGACGCCUGCCCGGUGCCGGAAGGUUAAUUGAUGGGGUCAGCGCAAGCGAAGCUCCUGAUCGAAGCCCCGGUAAACGGCGGCCGUAACUAUAACGGUCCUAAGGUAGCGAAAUUCCUUGUCGGGUAAGUUCCGACCUGCACGAAUGGCGUAAUGAUGGCCAGGCUGUCUCCACCCGAGACUCAGUGAAAUUGAACUCGCUGUGAAGAUGCAGUGUACCCGCGGCAAGACGGAAAGACCCCGUGAACCUUUACUAUAGCUUGACACUGAACAUUGAGCCUUGAUGUGUAGGAUAGGUGGGAGGCUUUGAAGUGUGGACGCCAGUCUGCAUGGAGCCGACCUUGAAAUACCACCCUUUAAUGUUUGAUGUUCUAACGUGGACCCGUAAUCCGGGUUGCGGACAGUGUCUGGUGGGUAGUUUGACUGGGGCGGUCUCCUCCUAAAGAGUAACGGAGGAGCACGAAGGUUGGCUAAUCCUGGUCGGACAUCAGGAGGUUAGUGCAAUGGCAUAAGCCAGCUUGACUGCGAGCGUGACGGCGCGAGCAGGUGCGAAAGCAGGUCAUAGUGAUCCGGUGGUUCUGAAUGGAAGGGCCAUCGCUCAACGGAUAAAAGGUACUCCGGGGAUAACAGGCUGAUACCGCCCAAGAGUUCAUAUCGACGGCGGUGUUUGGCACCUCGAUGUCGGCUCAUCACAUCCUGGGGCUGAAGUAGGUCCCAAGGGUAUGGCUGUUCGCCAUUUAAAGUGGUACGCGAGCUGGGUUUAGAACGUCGUGAGACAGUUCGGUCCCUAUCUGCCGUGGGCGCUGGAGAACUGAGGGGGGCUGCUCCUAGUACGAGAGGACCGGAGUGGACGCAUCACUGGUGUUCGGGUUGUCAUGCCAAUGGCACUGCCCGGUAGCUAAAUGCGGAAGAGAUAAGUGCUGAAAGCAUCUAAGCACGAAACUUGCCCCGAGAUGAGUUCUCCCUGAGACUUAGAGUCUCCUGAAGGAACGUUGAAGACGACGACGUUGAUAGGCCGGGUGUGUAAGCGCAGCGAUGCGUUGAGCUAACCGGUACUAAUGAACCGUGAGGCUUAACCUUACA